GACGGAAGGUGCAAGCGUUGCUCGGAAUCACUGGGCGUAAAGGGUGCGUAGGCGGCCGUGCAAGUCUGGCGUGAAAGCCCCGGGCUCAGCCCGGGAAGUGCGCUCGAAACUGCAGGGCUAGAGUCCUGGAGAGGAAGGUGGAAUGCUUGGUGUAGAGGUGAAAUUCGUAGAUAUCAAGCGGAACACCGGUGGCGAAGGCGGCCUUCUGGACAGUGACUGACGCUGAGACGCGAAAGCGUGGGGAGCAAACAGG
rnacentral:rRNA from 1 species